AAACCGUGCAUGCAAGCUAAGAUCUUGCCGAGGUCGCUAGUAGGAGUGACCAAAACACGAACCCCUUUUCCUGCGAUUGUAAGAACCCCCACCGUAUUCUCCGGAUUGGACUGGGUUUUAGCUCCACAAAUAAGAUUAACAGCAUCAGCUUGCGCUUGAAAUCUGGAGGGAUUGUAAUCACCGUUUCGCAUCCAUUCCGAAUUAUCGAUACAGAUCAUUGUCGCCUCAAGCACCAUGGUUAAAGAUUGCAAGAGAAUCAAAGGAUCGAGAGAGAGAAGUUUCGAUUAAGAACGCUUUGUGCGUGUGUGAGAGAGAGAGAAA
rnacentral:misc_RNA from 1 species